GAAGCAGCAGCAGAGUGAAGAAGAGUGGAGCCGAGUGAGAGGAAGAAAACACAUCAAGUGGAUUCGUUUUGCUCAAACUCAGAACUGACGUCAGACGCUGGAGACUGCUGGGCUUCCUCCUCAUCCCAUCAGGACUUCCUGCCACUCCGCUCCGAUCCUCCGGUGAUCCUUUACCGACUGCAGUGACCACCAGAGGCUGUUUGCAGGCCUGUGACGGCUCCGCCUCUCAUCGUGACAGAGUGGCGUUUUAGCGUGGCGGAUGCAUCAAAAUGGCCGUUUUCUUUGCAGCCUUCCAGCAGUCCUCUGUGUUCUGGUCCAGUCCACCGGUCCUGAAGCAGAAGGUUCAAUCGUCUCCCAGAAGAUCCUGAAAACUGUGGAGCCCCAAAGUGUUGUUGAGUAACAAAUAUGACCUGUGCAAUCAGAUAAUCAAU